ACUGACUUAGUAUAUAGAUUACGUGAGAUUGUAAAUCUCGAAGGGGGUGACACCAGUCAGGA
rnacentral:tRNA from 1 species